UAGGUUGGAAUGCAACCUUUGUAGUGAGGAGUUCACCUAGCUGUAGAGUAGGGUUGAUACCCUAUGGGGCCGGCUCACCAUGAUAUAUGUGUUUCAUCUAGGCCAUUCAUGCAUUUUGCCAGCUCAAGUGGAUGAACUAAAAAAUAAAGCAUAUCCAAAGCUCAGGUGGACCACACCACAGGAGACAGUAGGGAUAAUAACACCCACAGUUAAAACCCUCCUAAGGCUAAUGUUUAUUAGCCAUUCAACCUGUUUGUAUUGUCACAUGGAUCUGGACAGUGGGAAAACAAAAAUAUCAUCUUGAUCCCAAACUUUUGUGGCUCCCAAGAAGUUUUUCAUGGCAGGUGUUCAAUCACCACUCUUUUUUAUGGUGUGAUCCACUCGAGCUUUGGAUAUGCUUCAUUUUUGGGCUCAUGCCCUAAAAUGAUCCGCAAAAUUGAUGGACGGUGUAGAUAAAACAUAUACAUAAUGGUGGGUCCCAAAGAGCAUCCACACCAUGCUCCUCACUAUCACGGCACCGGGCCAGUCACAUCUCUUGCAGCAGCACAUCGCCUAAUUAAAUCUUGCCAUGUCCCAACACCACAACGGAGCAAUCCACGUCCCCAUUUUCCACUUAGGGUGGGUUUUGGAAUUUAUGUACACGAAGUGGGUCCCGCAUGCGGACUAGACCUGUGAUUUCUAUAAUCAUACAUUCACGCCCCCUUUCCUAGGGCUGUCAAUGGCUGGUCUCAUGCCACGCAAAAUCAAAGUUUAAAAUAGGGUGGGCCCAUCAGGCUCCAUCCGAACAGUUCAAAAUCUGGGCCCAAGCCAACCCACGCUCGGCCUGUUGAGAGCCCUACUUCCAACAUGGGAAUUAUUUGAUACUUAUAAGAGUAUGUUGCUGGGUAUUUAGGCACUCAGAAACUCCAUGUUUUAUAUAGAAACUCAUAUGAAAUUAGCUGCGGUAUGGAAUCUGCCUUUUUUAAGCGACUGUCCUCAGAUAAGAUUGUUUGAACAAUCCCAUGGAUGGUGGACACUUGUUUGUUGAAAUAGGACCAUUGGAUAAUUUUGAUUUUUGACCAUACAAUAAAUGUCUGCAAUCUAAGGGUAGGAUAAUUGACUUGUGGUCCUUGACACAUCUAAACAAGGAUCUAUAAAUUGAACUGUUUAAUUUAAAAUUUUGAAUUACUUAUAGGCUACAUGCGUAUCAUACAUCACACUCUACUGGAGUAUCAAACUUUUUCUCUUAAGGAACAGCUAAAGGGGGUAGUCGGGCAUUUGAAAGAACAAACUAAAUCCAAACCCACACACCAUCAAACUACCCAUGUCACCCACAGAUAGAGGGUCAAGUUGGCCGGGCUGUGCCAAGCUCUGUCCAAGCCUAGCCCGCAAUUUUCAGCAUAGGACUGAGUUUGGCCCAGCCUAUGACAGGCAAAACUAGCAUAGCCUGAGGUUUUUAUACUAGCCUUAGCCCAAGCCCAAGCUUGAGUGCUUGAGAGAGAGAGAGAGAGAGAGAGAGAGAGAGAUAUGGAUGGGGGUGUGGUUUAGAGCAUAGAAGAUGGAGUGUGGUAGGGCUGUGAAUAGGUCAAACAUGGGCUACACAAAAUUAGAAAAUUUUAAUAGGGUUGGCAACAGUUCAAAAUCCAAGUUGAAGUGAUGUAGGCCCAUGGCCCACUUAGGCCCACAACGAACUUAAGCCCACCUAGGCCUAUUAUAGAGCCCAACAAUGAUAUAGGCCCAUAGUCCACCGAAGGGGCUAACAUGUGUUAAUUUUUAAUUUUUAAUUUUUUAAAAAAUCUGUUUAUUUAUAGAUUUUGGAGUCUAAAUCAUGAUUUGCAAUUUACUAUUUUUGAAAAAUAUGAAGGUUGAUUUAAAAAUGAGAUUGAAGAUAGGACGGGUUAAUUUAGAGAUGUAGUUAAGAUUAUUUUCUAUAUGUGUUUUAUUAUUAUUAAGCUUUUAUCAUUCUAAAUGGAUUAGCUAGAUUCGAAGUCAACUACAAUUGAUUUGGAGUCAAUCUCUUAGUUGAAAAAAUUCUCAUUAGAAAUUCACACAAAUUCUAUUAAAAAAGUGGAUGGUGUGGGAGUUAGUCAUUCUAACAUUUCUUUUUUAAGUGUAAGUUUUUCUUAUGUAUUAUGAGAGAAGUUUGGUGUUAAUAUGUUCUCUCAUUUUCUACUCUAAAAUUCCUGUGGGUGCACUCUUGAGGAACAAUUAAAGGGGGCAGUCGGGCGUUCCGAAAAACAAACCAAAACCAAACCCACACACCAUUAAACUACCCGUGUCACCCAUGGAUAGAGUGUCAAGUUGGCCGAGCUGUGCCAAUCUCUGUCUAAACCUAGCCCACAAUUUUCAGCAAGCUCGAGUGCUUGAGAGAGAGAGAGAGAGAGAGAGAGAGAGAGAGAGAGAGAGAGAGGUGUGGGUUAGAGCUUGGAAGAUGGAGUAUGGAGGGCUGUGAAUAGGUCAAACAUAGGCUACACAAAAUUAGAAAAUUUUAAUAGGGUUGGCGACAGUUCAAAAUCCAAGUUGAAGUGAUGUAGGCCCAUGGCCCACUUAAGCCCACAACCAACCUAAGGCCACCUAGGCCUACUAUAGAGCCCAACAAUGACAUAGGCCCAUAGUCCACCGAAAGGGCUAACAUGUGUUAAUUUUAUUUUUUAUUUUUUUUUCUAUUUAUUUAUAGAUUUUGGAGUCUAAAUCAUGAUUUGCAAUUUACUAUUUUUGAAAGAUAUGAAGGUUGAUAUUAAAAUGAGAUUGAAGAUAGGAGGGAUUAAUUUAGAGAUGUAGUUAAGAUUAUUUUCUAUAUGUGUUUUGUUAUUAUUAAGCUUUUAUCAUUCUAAAUGGAUUAGCUAGAUUCGAAGUCAACUACAAUUGAUUUGGAGUAAAUCUCUUAGUUGAAAAAAUUCUCAUUAGAAAUUCACACAAAUUCUAUUAAAAAAGUGGAUGGUGCGGGAGUUAGUCAUUCUAACAUUUCUUUUUUAAGUGUAAGUUUUUCUUAUGUAUUAUGAGGGAAGUUUGGUAUUAAUAUGUUCUCUCAUUUUCUACUCUAAAAUUCCUGUGGGUGCACUCUUAAGGAACAACUAAAGGGGGUAGUCGGGCAUUCCGAAAAACAAACCAAAUCCAAACCCACACACCAUCAAACUACCCGUGUCACCCAUGGAUAGAGUGUCAAGUUGGCCGAGCUGUGUCAAUCUUUGUCCAAGCCUAGCACACAAUUUUUAGCAAGCUUGAGUGCUUGUGAGAGAGAGAGAGAGAGAGAGAGGUCAGUUAGAGCUUGGAAGAUGGAGUAUGGGGGGCUGUGAAUAGGUCAAACAUAGGCUACACAAAAUUAGAAAAAAUUUAAUAGGGUUGGCUCAUCAUGCCCGACCUGGACAGUUCAAAAUCCAAGUUGAAGUGAUGUGGGCCCAUGGCCCACUUAGGCCCACAACCAACUUAAGCCCACCUAGGCCUACUAUAGAGCCCAACAAUGACAUAAGCCUAUAGUCCACAGAAGGGGCCAAUAUUUUUUAUUUUUUUCCUGUUUAUUUAUAGAUUUUGGAGACUAUCAUGAUUUGCAAUUUACAAUUUAUGAAAAAUAUGGAGGUUGAUUUUAAAAUGGGAUUGAAGAUACAAGGGGUUAAUUUAGAGAUGUACUUAAGACUAUUUCUAUAUGUGUUUUAUUAUUAUAAAGCUUUUAUCAUUCUAAAUCAAGUAGCUAGAUUUGAAGUCUAACUACAAUUGAUUUGGAGUCAAUCUCUUAGUUGAAAAAAUUCUCAUUAGAAAUUCACAUAGAGUCUAUUAAAAAAAGGGAUGGUGCAAGAGUUAGUCAUCUUAACAUUUCUGUUUUAAGUGUAAGUUUUUUAUUAUGUAUUGUGAAGUUUGAUAUUAAUAUAGUUCUCUCACUCUCUACCCUAAAAUUCUUGUGGGUGUACUCUUGUCCCUUCUUUUUUUUUUUUUUUUCUUCUUUCUUUCUUUCUUUUUUAAAUUCGGGUGUCAAGAUUUCAUUGAUAUGAUAAGUGGGUUACACAAUUUUAGUACCAGAGAGGGUGAUUGUUGGGGUAAUUAUUAAUUCUACGUCAUCUUCUAAUGGUUUCAAAUGGGGUGACAUAGAAGAGUUUGUGCAGGCAAUCCAAUUUGAUUAACAUAAGCACAAAGUAGGUGGAUCAAUUCAUGCAUACAAUUGAUAAUCUUAUUAAUUAGGUGGGAAAGCUUUGGCGUUGAGGGAAUCUAAAGACUGAAGUUGGAGCAUAUGAACACAUAGAGUGAGGCCUUUACCAAGAUCCUAACCAAUAGCAGUGGCUAGGGCUUAUGAAGACAUUAAAUAGUUGAAUCCUUUAAUUGUUGGAACGUGACAUAGAAAUUUCCAAAACAAGAAAGAGAUCUAUGAAAUUAAAGGAAAAGUUGAUAUUUGAAGUGAUUGAUGUAUUGGCAUUGGUUAUAUAGUUCACUUUGAUAGACAUGCAAAUAGGUCUCAACAAUCAAAUUGAAUGAUAAGGAAGUUAGGCUGAUGUAUAAAAUCGAAGACCGGUGUGAAUAAUAAGCGGCUUUAAUUUUAAGACGAAGCCCCGCUCUUAGCUUGAUACUCCAACCCAUCUUGUGGACCCACUGAAAACCCUACCCACAGAUCCUCCAUGUGAGAUCUACCCUUAUAUGCCACAGGUUUUUUGAGCUGAAUAGAUGGAAGCUUUGUUGUGUGGUCAUUAUUUUCAAAUGUGGUGCAACCAUGCAUACUUUCGCAAUAUCCAAGCCACUCAUCACAUGGGACCACUACUUGGAUGAUUCCUCAGUCAUUUUGCCCAAUCGGUUGGUCAUACAUGUACAAAAUAUAUAUAGCAUUAAGUGGACUCAGCCAACACUCAAAUUGAAAAGUAUGUGCGGCCCAUCUGAUGAUGGAGCCAGCUUCAUUUAUGAGAGGAUCCAUUUAAUUGGUAAGAUACACCUGAUGAACGGCUCCCAACUUUCAAAAGUGUCCCAUAUUACGUGUGGAUGGAGAGUGUCAUAAAUGUGAAUAUAUGUGUGUUUGUGUAUAUAUCUUAUAUAAAUAAGGUCAAAAUAAUAAUAAUAAAUUUCAAUCAUGUUGAUGUUUGAUUUCUCCCUUCAUCUUGGCUAUACAUGUAUUAUGAAGUUGGAUGGAUGUUGUAUGCUGAAGGUAUAUUACAUUCCUCUUUCUUUCUUUUUUUCUUUUUUUCUUUUUUUCUUUUUUUCUUUUUUAAGGUAUAUUAUAUUGGGUAAUUCUACAGAUUAUCAUUGAUUUUUGGAAGUAAAAACGAUUUUCUCCUUCUUUUUGGUGCUAUGGUUUGAAAAACCCUCAUUCUCUAUCUCCCUCAAAACUACAUAGAUCGAGAAGCAAAACCCUAACCCUAAUCCUAACUCUCAUUCUCUAUCUUCCUCAAAACUACAUAAAUUGAGAUGCAAAACCCUAACCCUAACUCUCUAUCUCUAUCUCCCUCAAACCUACAUAACUCGUUGCACCCGAUUUCUCUUUUUCUCUCUCUCUCGUGGUUGGCGUGAUCUCUGUCUGCCUAUUCCGAUGGGUUUUUAUAGAACUCUCUCUCUCUCUCUCUCUCUCUCUCUCUCUCUCUCUCUCGUUACAGGAGGAAUUAGCGUCGGUUCUUACGCUGGAAGGACGUUCCAGCAGAGUGCUUCUGACGCCGUGAAAUUCGGUUUGUGGGUCGGAUCUUUUGUUGAAGUCUGGCGAUCAUACAUUGAUCAGGUGGGCCUCACAAUAGUCAACUUUGAUUUCAAACCGCUUUUUAUCCAAGAACUUGCAGUGGGUUUUCUUGAUUAAAGAAGAUGGAUGGCGUUAAUGGUAAUUCUUCAUACAGCAUAGAUUUCGACAUUCAGCUCCUUCAUAACAGUUGAAAUAAUGAAGACAAAAUAAUAAUAA